AAAUUUCCCUGAAUUUCACUAGUGCAUUUAUGUAACAUUCUCCUCUGAAGAAGAGAACCUAAUAUACUGGAUCCUCUGACAUUCUACCGUACAGCAGAUAUCAAAAUAGAACCAGUACAUUUUUUUCUGCAUAAAAAAUAUUAUAAGCAAUCUUGGCUUUACCUUAGGUUAUGGCCUAAUAGUAAGUAACAAGACAUGAGAAAAUUACAUAAGAACUUCGGGAACCGUUAAAGUAAUAAUUGAGCAGCCACUCAGAGAAAAUAUAACCUAGCAGUUCUUUUUCUCAUCAAUGAAAGCUGUUCCUGUACAGUCCCAAGUCUGCCUUUGCCACAUAAUUCUGAGUCACAUUAAAAAAAAAAAUCACUAUCCCCUUUUUGUAACGACAGAAACCAGCUCAGAAGGUGAUUCAUCCUCACAACAUCUCUAUGAAUUCAGUACCUUGGUACCACCGAAGGACAUCCAACAUAAAGAAAAGCUGCAAGUAUACCCCAUAACCAUAGGGGUCUCCCAUCUGAUAGCAAUCUUUUCUGAAGUAUUAAAACAUUGUUAGACUCCUGACCUGUCUCUCACCUGCCUCUUUUCUUCUACCUCAAGCCACUUCAGCUUGCAGUCAGUUGUCUUGGUCCUGCCACUCUCGACGCGUCUACCUGUGUGCCUAUGUGCCAGUCUAUACUUGGGAUUAUAGUCGCCUUCAGGGACCAGAGGUUUCAGAUCUCUUGAAGGUAGAGUUAAAAGUGGUU
ensembl:lncRNA